AAUUUUGCGCAAUGGGGGAAACCCUGACGCAGCAACACCGCGUGAAUGUUAAGCCCUUCGGGGUGUAAAGUUCUGUCAGUGGGGAAGAAUUUUGACUGUACCCACAAAGGAAGCACCGGCUAACUCCGUGCCAGCAGCCGCGGUAAUACGGGGGGUGCAAGCGUUGUCCGGAAUCAUUGGGCGUAAAGCGUUCGUAGGCGGUAUAUCAAGUCUGGUGUUAAAGCCCGGGGCUCAACUCCGGUUCAGCAUUGGAUACUGGUAAACUAGAAUGUGGUAGAGGUAAGGGGAAUUCCUGGUGUAGCGGUGAAAUGCGUAGAUAUCAGGAGGAACAUCGGUGGCGAAAGCGCCUUACUGGGCCAUUAUUGACGCUGAGGAACGAAAGCCAGGGGAGCAAAUGGG
rnacentral:rRNA from 1 species